rnacentral:rRNA from 1 species
AUGGCCAAGAAAAAGUCCUCCUCCGCCGCCGCCGCCGCCGCCAACGGCAACGACAACGGCAACCAGGCCGCCGUCGCCGCCAAUGGCAAUGGCAACGGAAACCACGCCGCCGCGUCCAACGGCAACGGCAACCACGCUGCCCCGGCGCCAGCGCCGGGGAUGGAGGAGAAGCGGGACUCAUCGCCGGUACGGGACCGGAAAGCGGAGCAGCUAAAGACGCUCAACUCCAUGCUCCUCAAGGAGGCGGUCGAGCGGCGCGGCCAGGUGGCGGCGCUCACGGCGCGCCUCGAGGAGAUCUCCGCCGAUGGCGACGCGCUCGACGCCGCCGAGCGCGCAGUCGCGCAAGCCGCCCUCGCCGCGCCCCUCCGCGCCGCGGCCGACGAGGCAGCCGCGCUCCGCGCACGCCUCGCCGCCGUCCAGGACUCCCUCCGGCUCGCGGAAUCGAAGGCCGCGCUCGAGGCGGGCGCCAAGGACGAUGCCAGCGCGCGCCUUGAGGCGGUCGCUGGGGAGAAGGCACGGUUCCUGAAACUUCUCCAGGUCAAGGAGGCGGAGGUGGCGUCCAUAUCCAAAAAGGUCGCGAGCCUGUCGGCCAUGAUGGCAGAGUUGGAGGCCAACAAUUCCGAGCUGUUGAGUCAGAAUGGCGAGCUCAUGAAGCAAUUGGAGGAGACAAAGGAGGCGGUUCGGGUGGUCUCCUGCCAGAAGGCAGAGGUGGAGAGAAGCUUCCAGGAAUUCAAGAAAGAAUCUGAGGCGUUCCGGGUGGAUAUGGAGGGGAAGUUGAAGGCGAAGGUGGAGGAACUGAAGGUGCUGGGAUCCAAGAAGGCUGAGAUGGAUGCAAGGGUGGCCUCUUUGGAAACAGAGCUCGCAUUGUCUGUGACUAAGACAGGGGGAUUAGAGGCUGAAGUGAUGGCAAUGAAGAGGGAGCUUGAUUUGUUGAAGGGCAAAAGUGAUAAGCUUCAAUCAGAGGUUGCUGAAGCAGAGAAGAAACACAGCAUGUCUGCAGAAGAGGUUGAGAGGCUCAGGAUGGAACUGGGUGUGUUGGUGAAGGCAAAGGAGGUUGCUUCCAAGGCAUUUGAUGCUGAGAAGACUGAAAUCGUGAAGGAGUUGGAGAGCCUCAAGAGGAAGGUGGAGGAAAUCCAGGCUGACAAGGAGGCAGCCGAGGGGGUGACACGUGAGAAGGAUGCUCAGACCGUUAAGCUGAGGGCUGAGUUGGAGGAGCUCCAUGUUUCCAUGUCACAGCUCCAAACAUCAUGUGAUGAACUUGAUACCAAGCAUUCAAGCCUGCAGCGCGAGAAGAAUUCAGUUCUGAGAGCACUGGAUGCUGAGAAGGCUGAAGCAGGGAAGCUGAUGUCGAAAAUCAAGGAACUGGAGAACUGCAAUGGUAAAAUGGACAGUGAGAUUGGAGAGUUGAGGAUGGCAUUGAAGGAAAAGAAUGGGAAGAUCGAAGUCCUUUCCAAUGAGGCUGAGGAGCUGCAGCUCGCAGUGGCUGAAGCGCAGAAGAAGAACAAGGGUGGUAUCUGGGCGUGGGUGUAUGCCGCCACCACCACCAUGGUGGCCGCAAUCUCCCUGAUCUAUGCUGCCAGGGGCCAUUGA